rnacentral:tRNA from 1 species
AAGAAAAUAGUUAAGUAUAAUAUUGGUUUGUCAUUCCAAAGUCAGCGAUUUUCGCUUUUUCUUG